ACGAGCGGCGGACGGGUGAGUAAUGCUUAGGAAUCUGCCUGGUAGUGGGGGAUAGCCCGGGGAAACCCGGAUUAAUACCGCAUACGCCCUACGGGGGAAAGCAGGGGAUCUUCGGACCUUGCGCUAUUGGAUGAGCCUAAGUCGGAUUAGCUAGUUGGUAGGGUAAUGGCCUACCAAGGCAACGAUCCGUAGCUGGUCUGAGAGGAUGAUCAGCCACAUCGGGACUGAGACACGGCCCGAACUCCUACGGGAGGCAGCAGUGGGGAAUAUUGGACAAUGGGCGCAAGCCUGAUCCAGCCAUGCCGCGUGUGUGAAGAAGGCUUUCGGGUUGUAAAGCACUUUCAGUGAGGAGGAAGGCUUUCAGGCUAAUACCCUGGAGGAUUGACGUUACUCACAGAAGAAGCACCGGCUAACUCCGUGCCAGCAGCCGCGGUAAUACGGAGGGUGCAAGCGUUAAUCGGAAUUACUGGGCGUAAAGCGCGCGUAGGUGGUUUGAUAAGC
rnacentral:rRNA from 1 species